rnacentral:lncRNA from 1 species
GCACACCCAAAGAUCCCUGCCCCCAAGUUGAAGCUGGUCAAAAUUAUAUCCAUCUUAAAACCACUCCUGCACCGUCAUCUCCUCCAAACACCCAUCUCAAAACCACCUCCAACCUCAUCGCAGGCCCAUCUCAAAACCACCUACUGCACCAUCUUCCCACCACCAUUGCAAUCGCAGAUCUAAAAUAGUGAUUUGGGGGUUGGGCGGUGGAUCUGAGAUCUGAAAUUGCGAUUUGGGGGUUGGGCGAAGUGACAACCGUGAAUGUUAUUAGUUGCAGAGGUUCUAGAAGGGGUGGUUGGGGUAGCAGUGGCGGCAGUUGGUUCUCUUCAAUGAUGAAGGGGAUAGCUUCAGGCGAGGUGGUAGGAGUGGCGGCAGAGGCGGUUCUAGAAGUGAUGGAGUUGCUUAUCAUGGUGGUGAUGGUGUUGGUGAUUAUGAUGGGGCUGUAAAGGAUGAGGUUAACGAUUGGUUGUGGGGUUUGAAGGAUAAAAUUGUUGGGGUUUUUUUUUGGGUAAUUACUCAAGUCUUUUUAAUCACCUUAAUGGAUUGAUUGGGUUGUUAAUUUUGGAUUGAGUUGGAGUCAGCCGCCCGAAAUUAUCCGAAAGGUGAACGUCCGAAGCUAAGGGCUUGGUUUAUGUCGGUUAUUGUGCCAUUUCCUUGUUUUUUAUAUUGUUUUUUUUUCAAUGACGGUUGAGAUUGGGUUCUUUUGAAAAUGUUGAAGCUUCAAUAAAUCAAUGGAGGAUGGAGAAGAUGUACAGGAUAAGAGUAGGUUGAGGAUUUUUAUUUUAAUAUUAAAAGUUUUAUACUUACCCUUUUAAUUAAAGUAAACUACAUAGUAGGUCCCUCUAAUUAAAGGUUUUAUUUACACCCAUUAAAAAGAAUCCAAUUUAAAACAAACUAGUUAUAAAAAUUCCAAUAAAAAAAUUGGUUAGGUGUGUAAUACAAUUUCUAUGCUUUUAUUUUUUUUUAAUGUGGUUCGCUUUUUAUUUAGAUAUUAAUAUUUUCACUAAUUAUUUAAACAUUUAUUAUUUGGACAUGAAUUACAGACAAGUGAAAUUUGUAUAAUUGGAGAAGAUAGAAAGAGUAAAGUAUGUAAGAAGUUUUUUACUAUAUAAUAAUAUUAAAAGAACUACAUUAACCCUAUAUAAUCAAAGUAGAUUAAAAAAAUCCAAUUAAGAAAAAAUUUCGGUGCAUAUGUAUUUAUUUAUUUUUUUUUAUCAAAUUUACUUUUUUUUAUUUUAGAUAUUACCUAUUUAAGUAAUUGAAUUUAAAGAAAAAAAGAGGUGAUGAUGUGGAAAAUCUAAGGAUAUGUAAGGAUAUUUGUAUGGUUGAAGAUGAAAUUGAGAGGUUUUAAGGAUUUGUAAGGAUUUUUAAGGAUCUGUAUGGAUAUGAUGUGGCAGCUGACUAGGCAACUAAGGACGCCUAAGGACUCCUUAGCAUUGGAGAUAGUCUUAGGGGAAUGAUUUGCACAUGGUAGGUUGGUAAUAAAAGAGACAUUAAAUGACAAAUGUACCCUCAUGUGACCUGCACAUGGUCACAUUUAACUGAAAAAACAAACUGAGUUAUGCCUAAAGGACAAAACGUGAUCGAUUUUAAAAUAACACUUGAUAAAAAAAUGUAGAAGUUUUAUAAUACUAAUUAAAAAAAAUGGUGACGUUUUAUAAUAACACUUGAUAAAAAAAUGUAGAAGUUUUAUAGUACUAAUUAAAAAAAAAAUGGUGACGUUUUAUACUAAGAGUUGAUAAAAAAUGUAGAAGUUUUAUAAAACUAAUUUAAAAAAAGUUGACGUUUUAUACUAACACUUGAUAAAAAAUGUAGAAGUUUUAUAAUAUUAAUUAUAAAAAAUAUUGACGUUUUAUAAUAAUAAUUAACUAAUAAAAAUGUUGCCAUUUUUCUAAAUAUAUUAAAUAAAAAAUGACAUUUAUAUACCUUCCUUU